CCGACCUUAGCUCAGUUGGAAGAGCGCGAGACUGUAAUGGAUACAAGUCCGAUCAAAUCGGACAUCUUGAGGUCGCCUGUUCGAACCAGGCAGGUCGGA